rnacentral:tRNA from 1 species
GGCGGCGUAGCUCAGUCUGGUUAGAGCAGUCGGCUCAUACCCGGCAUGUCAGUGGUUCGAAUCCACUCGCCGCUACCA